CCCAGACUCCUACGGGAGGCAGCAGUGAGGAAUAUUGGUCAAUGGCCGAGAGGCUGAACCAGCCAAGUCGCGUGAGGGAAGACGGCCCUACGGGUUGUAAACCUCUUUUGUCGGGGAGCAAAGAGAGUCACGUGUGACUCAUUGAGAGUACCCGAAGAAAAAGCAUCGGCUAACUCCGUGCCAGCAGCCGCGGUAAUACGGAGGAUGCGAGCGUUAUCCGGAUUUAUUGGGUUUAAAGGGUGCGCAGGCGGAGGUGCAAGUCAGCGGUCAAAUUGCGGGGCUCAACCCCGUACUGCCGUUGAAACCGGAGCGCUAGAAUUCCGAUGCCGUCGGAGGAAUGUGUGGUGUAGCGGUGAAAUGCAUAGAUAUCACACAGAACACCGAUUGCGAAGGCAUCUGACGAAUCGGAGAUUGACGCUGAUGCACGAAAGCGUGGGUAUCGAACAGGAUUAGAUACCAGUA
rnacentral:rRNA from 1 species